rnacentral:ncRNA from 2 species
AUAUACUAAAAAGCGCCUGAACUAUUCGAAUGGACGGAAACACGAAUAGUUGACGAGGAAGAGGUUUAUCGAAAACAUCGGCGGAUGCCUCUCGGUUGCCACACCACAACCGCAAGCUUUGGUAAAAAACAGAAGGUGACUUCUUGAACAAAAACUAAAGUAUUGGUGCUC